rnacentral:rRNA from 1 species
UAGGGAAUCUUCCGCAAUGGACGCAAGUCUGACGGAGCAACGCCGCGUGAGUGAAGAAGGAUUUCGGUUCGUAAAACUCUGUUGUUAGAGAAGAACAGCGCAUAGAGUAACUGUUAUGCGUGUGACGGUAUCUAACAAGAAAGCCACGGCUAACUACGUGCCAGCAGCCGCGGUAAUACGUAGGUGGCAAGCGUUGUCCGGAUUUAUUGGGCGUAAAGCGAGCGCAGGCGGUCAAUUAAGUCUGAUGUGAAAGCCCCCGGCUCAACCGGGGAGGGUCAUUGGAAACUGGUUGACUGGAGUGCAGAAGAGGAGAGUGGAAUUCCAUGGGAGGCGGUGAAAUGCGUAGAUAGAUGGAGGAACACCAGUGGCGAAGGCGACUCUCUGGUCUGUAACUGACGCGGAGGCUCGAAAGCGUGGGUAGCAAACAGG